GUUCGGGCAGGCGGAGCGGCGGGGCCGGGCUGUGGCGCCGCCGGGACCGCGGGGCGAGGGGCGGAGGAGGGCGGUGUAUCCAGUUUCCUGUGAAAUGCUGAAGGGCAAACCUGGAGAAGGGAGAUGAAAUCCCUCUGCUUUUAUCCCAGCAGGGAGGAAGUGGGGAGCAGUUUGUGUGGUGCCAUCUCAGCCCAGCUCUGGGGGGUUGAGUUACCCAAAGGUUGGGAUGAAGCUGCAGAGCUGGAAAUACCCAGAUGUGAAGAUCCAGGAUAGCUGCUGCUUUGACUUCCCCAUCUUCAGAAGGAGGAGCUGUGGGGUCCCAGCAGUGGGACGAUGAGGAGGAUGCAGCAGCAGGUACGAAAGAGGUUUUAUUGGAGCUGCAGCUCCUGUUUUAAAUUGCUGUGGGGGUAAUUGAGUGACUCCCUCUCCCUGUAUCCCUUUCCAUGCCCUGUGCCAAGGCUGGCAGUGGACAGGGGUGACUGCUUUGAAGUGCUCUCCUGCUUUCUGGAUGAUUCACACUGGUAGGAGAGGCUUCCUGCCUUUCCAUGACUUAGGGAAAAGCUCCAUUUCAUAAUGUCUCCUUACUCUUAGCAGGGCUUGUGCUCUGUUCCCAAAACUCCCACUGUUUUCACUGCAGGCAUGACCAGACUGUGAAACAGCUUGGCUGGUCUGGUGAAUAAUCUGUGAGUCUCUUUUAAUAAACUGCAGUUUUAUUUAUCUUGCUGCUCUUUAGAGCUUUUCAUCUCCAAACAUUCAAGUGCAGAAACUGUCCAGCAGUGAAACUCAGCCGUGUCUCUUGGGGAUAGAGUGGGAGGCAGACAGGCAGGCAUUUUUUUACUCCACAGUUUGGAGUGAGAGGAAUUUUGUUCAAGGACAAUGAGGGAAAGCUUAGCUUGUGUGCCGAGUGACCCUUUGAUCUUCCACGUUCAUGCUCAGCUGAUCAGGACUUUAAAUCUAAGCUCUGUCUCCCUCCUCCCCACAGCAAACA